rnacentral:rRNA from 1 species
CCCUAUGGGGUGCAGCAGUCACGCAACCUCCGCAAUGCACGAAAGUGUGACGGGGUUAUCCCGAGUGCCGUUCGCUGAGAAUGGCUUUUCCCUAGUGUAAAUAGCUAGGGGAAUAAGGAGAGGGCAAGCCUGGUGUCAGCCGCCGCGGUAAUACCAGCUCUCCGAGUGGUGGGGACGCUUAUUGGGCCUAAAGCAUUCGUAGCCGGCUGGACAAGUCUUCUGUUAAAGCCAACGAUUUAAUCGUUGGACUGCGGGGGAUACUAUUCGGCUAGGAGACGGGAGAAGCCGACGGUAUUUCCAGGGUAGGGGUGAAAUCCUGUAAUCCUGGGAAGACCACCAGUGGCGAAGGCUGUCGGCUAGAACGCGCUCGACGGUGAGGGAUGAAAGCUAGGGUAGCGAACCGGAUUAGAUACCCGGGUAGUCCUAGCUGUAAACGAUGCAGGCUAGGUGUUAGGGCGGCUAUGUGCCGCUUUAGUGCCGCAGGGAAGCCGUUAAGCCUGCCGCCUGGGGAGUACGAUCGCAAGAUUGAAACUUAAAGGAAUUGGCGGGGGAGCACUACAAGGGGUGAAGCUUGCGGUUUAAUUGGAGUCAACGCCGGAAAUCUCACCGGGGCCGACAGCAGAAUGAAGGCCAGAUUAAAGGUCUUGCUAGACGAGCUGAGAAGUAGUGCAUGGGCCAA